rnacentral:tRNA from 1 species
GGAGAGAUGUCCGAGUGGUUUAUGGUGUCUGCCUUGAAAGCAGAUGAGCGGUGAAAUGCUCCGUGGGUUCAAAUCCUACUCUCUCCG